GCCGGGGUGGGGGCGGGGUCCUUCAUUGGCUGGACCCCGCCCCCCAGGCAGGAGAGGUCACGGACUGAUAGAAAAGUCUUUAACCGCCCCCCCCCCGCGCCCCAGGAGGAAGCAAAGGAGCCCCGUUUCUCAACAAGGCAUAUUUCAUCCUGCACCAGAAGGCUUCAAUUGCCUCAAAAUUGGAGGAAAGGAAAGAGAAAGGUUGCCUUGGGUCUGAAUUAUUACAGAAAAUGGCUCUCCUAAAUCAACAGGAGGCAGGUAUGAAAGUCUAGAAAAUGAUAGCAUCAAUAUUUUAACGUUUGAUGAAGAAUUUAAUAACAGAGUAACGGGUAUGCGUGGUGCCGAUGACUUUUCCAGAAUCACAAUUACAGGAAUAUCUGGGAAUACAGCAGUAUUUUUCCAGAGUAGCUUGUAAGUAAUUACAGGGCUGAAACAGUUUUUCUUUGAGGGGAGGUUUUAACUAUUUGUUUUUUUUUUUUUCCACAUGUUGUUACCACAGACAUGGUUAUGUUGGACCGUGGCCUAUGUUGGUAGAUGACAAAUUCUGACCCAAAUUCCACAUUCAUAAUGGUUGUUUUGAUCCAGAAAGAACUGUCUCAGCAUAACCUCAGUGAAACCACAAAAGACUCAUGUAACCUGAGAUUUCUCAUGCCCUGGGGCCUGCUGGCCCCCCAUUCUCUGAAACCUGGAGAAAAUCCUGAAGUUCUAACACUUUGGUAAGUCCCCACAGUCAUCUCUUUACCGUGUUCUGACUGAGUACAGCAUGAAUGUUGGAGGGUGUUCUGGGUUGGUCAGCUGUGGCUCCUCUUCUGUUUCCCAAUCUUGUCAUUAAUCAUCUUCUCUAUUACCUAAUUGGCUCUUUCUAGGUCCUGGGCCACCUGGUCACACAGAGUGUCUCGUAGUUGGGCUGCUGGAAGAUUGUGAAGCUUACAAAGUUCUUACGUGAAUCUUACUCCCUUUAACCUCACCUUAUUACAUAAGCACAUAGUUUGCUUAAUUGUUUGUUAACACAGUCUAGGGUUAUCUGUGAGUGGAGCUGUCCUGCCAGAUUGUAAGGUCAAUGUGAUAUCACCAUCUUGGAACUUUGGCCAGAAUCCUAGUCAGUGACCUUGUGCUGAUUUAUUUCUUCACAACAUUGAACUUCCCGGGUUCUGAAGGUUUAAGUAACUCAUUAGGGACCCACAAAAGCCUUCCGGACCAUGAGGCAUUCCUUCAAACUAUUAAAUGGAGCAAGUGAAAUUGAUCAGAUAAAAUUCCUGUGGUUGAAAUUUUAUUGAUGCCCACUUCGGAAUUAUCCAGAGGAUUAGCUAAGCAGAAGUGUGUUUUAACUGUGCCAUAUAUACUUUAAAAAGGAGCCUCACCUCACUCGGCUGUGGCUUGAGCUCCCUCUCAAGCAGCGCAGUACGGGGGGCUCUGCUUGGCCGAGGAUGUCUGCGGAGGGACUGCGGGCAGGGCACUGUGGGGUUGGGCAUCCCGUUGUGGGGUGACAGGAAGCCCGGCUUUCUCUACGCCAUUCUAUGAUCCAUUACCUUUAUUCGCCUUGUGUAAAAAAGUGAUGUUCUUCCUCCUGGGCCUAUCAGGUUCCAGGAGUGUCCUUGGUCUAGAUACAGGGUGAAGGAGGUGAUCGCCGCUGCUUUUCCAUACGGGGCACAUGCUCUGUGCCUUAGUAUUACGAGAUAUAUAAAUCUUGUCUCUCAAAUUUAGACCAACGUAGACCAAAUAACUCCAUUUGACAGAUCAAGAAGAUAAUCCCUGGGAAAGGAUAAAGGAGGGCCAGCAUCCUGGAUGGGCACAGUCACUUCCUGAAAUGACUAGGAAAGUAUUUUUUUUAAAAGAGAUUUUAUUUAUUUGAGAGAGAGAGAGAGAGAGAGAGAGAGAGAGAAUGCUCACGUGAAUGAGAACGUGCUGGGGAGGGGUGGGGGAGAGGGAGAAGCAGACCCCCUGUUGAGCAGGGAGCCCAAUGCAGGACUCGAUCCCAGCACCCUGAGAUGGUGACCUUUGCCAAAGGCAGAUGCUUAACCCACUGAGCCACCCAGGAGGCCUGACUAUGAAAGUAUUUACUCGAUUAACUGGAGCUCAACAAAGAAACACAGAUGAACUUUAGUGGGGGAGGAAAGUCUUUAUUUUUGGCAAAGCAGCAGUUGAGAUGUGGACUCUUAGUACCUAGUACACACGCACCUUGUCUAGGUGGUGACCGGGUGUCCACCAUGCGCAUGGCCUUGUUGGUGAUCAAAUCAUUCUGUGGGUCUUUCUCUUUUCAGCUUUAAGAAGCACCUGUGUGGCCCAGUCGGUGCAGCGUCUCCUUCAGCUCAAGUCAUGGUCCCAGGGACCUGGGAUGGAGCCCCAUGUUGGGCUCCCUGCUCAGUGGAGAGCCAGCGUCUCCCUCUGCCUCUGCCCCUCCCCGCCUCGUGCACGCUCUCUCUCUCUCAAAUAAAAUCUUUAAAAAAAAAAAGCA
rnacentral:lncRNA from 12 species